UAUUGGUACUUUGUCAUACCGAGCGUUAUUGUCUUAAACAAAACAAUGUUAUUAUUGAUAUAUAUAUCCAGACCUCGUCGUUUAAGGGACCUUUUACUCUGGCUCCCAUCACUCCUCUGAGACUAGUUCAAGACCUCCGUGAUGUAUCGGACGUACUGCGCAAGCGCACCAGCGGCGACUGUGGUCCUGUGACACAAACAACCGUCCGGCAGUUUCUUCUCUUCUCGUUUCACACGAGAUUUUGUCGAGGCGUUACGUUUCUUGAGAGAUUUGUUAUCGAUUAUUUCUUCGCUUUGUUCAAGUUCAACAUCAUCUAAAGAAAAAUAAAACAAUACCAAUUACA